rnacentral:lncRNA from 1 species
CCUAACACAAAACGAUUUCAUACAUAAAUAAUUAUUUUCAGAGGAGAGAUUGUUUAUACUGUAUAUUAAACGUAACGGAAAUAAACAGAACGCGGAAGCCGAGUGUGCGUGAGAGCGUCGCAUCGCCUAGCAACAAAACCGACUCGGGGUUUAUACGUCACGGACACCGUGGGUUUCUGGGAAAUGAAGUUUAUUAGUUGUUUUUCCCCUUUCAAAAAAUGAUUUGAAGCCGUAUUGUAGUGCUUUGUUUGGAAGUAAAAUGCUAUAUAUAUGUAGCAAUUUUUUAUUAAAUGCAUCAUCAUUUAUUUUAAUUAUUUAUUUUUAUAUAAGAUCAUUAUUUUAUAUAAUAUUUUUUAUUUUAUUUAGUAAACAUAAUGUUUACACAUUUCCACAAAAACAGUCAAUAAUUUAAUUCACUAAAUAUUUUUAAAUGUUCAAUAAAAGCAUUAAACACUCAGUUUGGUUCAUUCCAGAAUCCUAAUUUGUAUUAAAGACUAAAAAUUAUUUCCCUCAGUCUUCCAGUUGGGGCCACUAUUACUCCAGGUUCAGAUCAUAGUUGUUGUUUUAUAUCUUAUAUCCAAUAAUAUUUCAUCCUUUAAUAGGCUACACAAAGACCAAAAAAUCUUAUUCAAAAUGGCCUGAUGUGAAAAUUGUGAAGUUUUCAGAAACACCUUCAAUGACAAAUCUAUUAACCGCUGUGUAUAUAUAUACAUUCAUGCGUGGGCGGAGUUUAGCAACAGCUCGACCAAUCACCUGCCGCGGUGGGCGGAGCCAAAGACCGGCUUCAUGUGAUCCGACCAGACGCCAGUAUUUGGAUUGAGUGAGUGGAGAGUGAAGGUACCAGCUGCUCGAAGAGCAUCAGUGUCUCUCUAUGGAAUAUAAUAAUAAUUCAGUGCCUCUGUAUUUUAAAGGAAUGAGGCUGACGUUCAUCUGCACAUUAUGGGAGUUUCUUUUACUCUGAAUGCUGAAGGUUUAUCCUUCUGUAUGGCUAACAAGACUGAUUUUAACCCCUAUUUGGCCAAUAAAAGUAAGCAAAAGAAAUUGGCAAUCAUAUUUCUGAAAGAUCUCUUUGUGAUCGUGCCUGUUACACCUUACACACCCUGCCACUUGUCUAACAGUUUCCAUUGCUUUUGUU